CGCCUGUUUAUCAAAAACAUGUCUUUUUGUUAAUUAUUUAAGGUCUGACCUGCUCCAUGAUUAGUUAAAUAGCCGCAGUAUUUUGACUGUGCAAAGGUAGCAUAAUCAUUAGUUUUUUAAUUGAAAGCUGGAAUGAAUGGUUGGAUGAGGAAGAUUCUGUCUCACUAUGAUUUUAUUUGAAUUUUAUUUUUAAGUUAAAAAGCUUAGAUUUAAUAAAAAGACGAGAAGACCCUAUAGAGUUUUAUAAGUUAUUAUUUCGAUUAUUAAAGGGUUUUAUUAUGAUUGGUUUAUUGCUUAUUUUGUUGGGGUGAUAUAAGAAUUGAAUUAACUUCUUUUUUUUGUUACAUUAGUUAGUGAAUAAAUGAUCCUGAGUUUUGGAUUAGAAGGAUAAAUUACCUUAGGGAUAACAGCGUAAUUCUUUUGGAGAGUUCUUAUCGAUAAAAGAGAUUGCGACCUCGAUGUUGGAUUAAAGAUAAAUUUUGGUGCAGAAGCUAGAAUUUUG
rnacentral:rRNA from 1 species